rnacentral:rRNA from 1 species
AUAUUUUGAACCGCAUGGUUCAAAAGUGAAAGACGGUCUUGCUGUCACUUAUAGAUGGAUCCGCGCUGCAUUAGCUAGUUGGUAAGGUAACGGCUUACCAAGGCAACGAUGCAUAGCCGACCUGAGAGGGUGAUCGGCCACACUGGAACUGAGACACGGUCCAGACUCCUACGGGAGGCAGCAGUAGGGAAUCUUCCGCAAUGGGCGAAAGCCUGACGGAGCAACGCCGCGUGAGUGAUGAAGGUCUUCGGAUCGUAAAACUCUGUUAUUAGGGAAGAACAUAUGUGUAAGUAACUGUGCACAUCUUGACGGUACCUAAUCAGAAAGCCACGGCUAACUACGUGCCAGCAGCCGCGGUAAUACGUAGGUGGCAAGCGUUAUCCGGAAUUAUUGGGCGUAAAGCGCGCGUAGGCGGUUUUUUAAGUCUGAUGUGAAAGCCCACGGCUCAACCGUGGAGGGUCAUUGGAAACUGGAAAACUUGAGUGCAGAAGAGGAAAGUGGAAUUCCAUGUGUAGCGGUGAAAUGCGCAGAGAUAUGGAGGAACACCAGUGGCGAAGGCGACUUUCUGGUCUGUAACUGACGCUGAUGUGCGAAAGCGUGGGGAUCAAACAGGAUUAGAUACCCUGGUAGUCCACGCCGUAAACGAUGAGUGCUAAGUGUUAGGGGGUUUCCGCCCCUUAGUGCUGCAGCUAACGCAUUAAGCACUCCGCCUGGGGAGUACGACCGCAAGGUUGAAACUCAAAGGAAUUGACGGGGACCCGCACAAGCGGUGGAGCAUGUGGUUUAAUUCGAAGCAACGCGAAGAACCUUACCAAAUCUUGACAUCCUUUGACAACUCUAGAGAUAGAGCCUUCCCCUUCGGGGGACAAAGUGACAGGUGGUGCAUGGUUGUCGUCAGCUCGUGUCGUGAGAUGUUGGGUUAAGUCCCGCAACGAGCGCAACCCUUAAGCUUAGUUGCCAUCAUUAAGUUGGGCACUCUAAGUUGACUGCCGGUGACAAACCGGAGGAAGGUGGGGAUGACGUCAAAUCAUCAUGCCCCUUAUGAUUUGGGCUACACACGUGCUACAAUGGACAAUACAAAGGGCAGCGAAACCGCGAGGUCAAGCAAAUCCCAUAAAGUUGUUCUCAGUUCGGAUUGUAGUCUGCAACUCGACUACAUGAAGCUGGAAUCGCUAGUAAUCGUAGAUCAGCAUGCUACGGUGAAUACGUUCCCGGGUCUUGUACACACCGCCCGUCACACCACGAGAGUUUGUAACACCCGAAGCCGGUGGAGUAACCUUUUAGGAGCUAGCCGUCGAAGGUGGGACAAAUGAUUGGGGUGAAGUCGUAACAAGGUAGCCGUAUC